rnacentral:lncRNA from 1 species
UUUUUUUUAUGCAAAUAAGGGGCCGUUUGGUUGCAUAUAGUUACAAUUGUACUGUAAUUGUAAUUGCAUGUAAAUGUAAAUUCAGUGUUUGGUUUGAUAUAUUUAACCUUAACUAUUGCAAUAGGAACUGCAAGAGGAGGUUCAACUGCAGCAGGUGGAAUUACGCCCAAAUUGGCCGCAAUUCCAACUACAGCAGCUGGAGAGAAUAACUUUAAACAAAAUAUAUCCUUACAUCAUUAGUUAUUUUUAAAGUAAAAAAUAUAUAUAUUUUUUAUAUUGGAGGUAAUCUCACCAUCAUAUCUAUAACAUGGUAAUUUUUAAAAAAUUAUUUUUCAACUGCAUACAAUCAAAUAAAUUAUUUAUAGUUGCAGUAUUUUCUACUACAUCUAAUCAAACAGAAUGGAUGUAAUUGAAACUGCUGCAUUUUCAACUGUAUGUAUGUUCAACUAUACUGUAUUUAUAAUUACAUCUAACCAAGCGGCCCCUAAUUGAAUAAUAAUAAUCUGUUAUACUCCUUGCUUUCUUACACACCACAUUUAUUUA